CGUGCUGCUAUGAACACACAAGUGCCUGGAUCUUUUUGUAUUUUGGUUUUCUCUGGAUAGAUGCCCAGGAUUGGACUGCAGGAUAUAUGGUAGUUCUGGUUUUCAUUUUUAAAGGAACGUCCAUGUAGCAGUGUACAUCCCAGCUCAGAGGAGAUGGUGUGUGGGGAAGAGAGAUGGGGAAGCAGGUUAGAGAGAUCCAGAAAUGCACGGCCAGAUUCUUUUCCCACAGAGAUGAUCACAGAAUCCUGGGUAGAGUUCCCUGUGCUGCACUGCAGGUCUCCAUGGACCAGGCUGUCUAUAUGCUUUGUUAACUUUAACUGAAGAAGAGUUGAUACACAAGGUUGUCAUCAUUCUGCUGGACAGCAAAGGGGCUCAGUUUUACAUGUGCACCUCUCCAUUGACUUUCUGAUUCUUUUCCCACAGAGACAAUCACAUAAUCCUGGGUAGAGUUCCCUGUGCUGCAUUGCAGGUCCCUGGGGACCAUCCACUCCCUACACCAUAGGGUACAUGUGCCAGUCCCAUUUGUCAGCUGCCCAAUACCGGUUCUAUUUUCCCACAAUCGUUGAUCUUCUCUUGGUGUGAAAAUGAAUUGGCUCAAUCGACGGCUUUGCCUGCAGCCCAGCCGAUCAUUUGUUCAUGACGUGAGAGCUUACAAAUGCUCCUUUGAGGGUCAUUGUUCUUCGCUGUCCUACGAUUGCACCGUUAGGAUCUUUCUCCCCCUUCUCUUGAGACGUGGAAGAUCUCCGAACAUUGUCUUUGUCUCGGGCAAGAGCUCACGCCCGUUGACUCUGAACGGGCAGCUCCCAGGACCGUGUCUGCUCUCCACACGCCCCGUGUGGCAGGGUUCAUACCUCUCAUCUUCUCUUACACGGACGUCUGCAGUUGGCACUAAAGCAGCAAGAGACUUUGCCCAAAUUCAUCGGACAAGCCAGUCAUCCUUCAUCACAUCAUGAAAUGACCCAAGGGACCAUAAAUGAGGUCUACUUAAUUUUUUAUAUGCACUUUAUUUCCUUUUUUUAUUAGAUUUACACUGUUAUGUUAAUUCUGCUGUAUAGCAAAGUGACCCAGUCAUACAUAUACACAUACUUCUUUUAAAAAAAUCUUCCAUCCCGGUCUAGUCCAAGAAACUGGAUACAGUUCCCUGUCCAGGACAGCAGGACCUCACUGCUUAUCCACUCUGUGUCAUAGUUUGCGUCCAUUGAGCCCAAACUCCCCAUCCAGCCCACUCCCUCCCCCUUGGCAACCACAAGUCUGUUCUCCGUGUCUGUGAGUCUGUUUCUGUUCUGUAGGUAGGUUCAUUUGCGCCAUAUUUUCGAUUCCGCAUAGAAGCAAUAUACAAUUUUUACCUUGUCUGAUUUCACUUAGUCUGAACAUUUCUAAGUCUAUGAUGUUGCUGCAAAUGGCGUGAUUUCAUUCUUUUUCAUGGCUGAAUAGUGUUCCAUUGUAUAUAUAGUGCAACAUCUUUGUAAAGGUUUUUGAGUGAAACAUUUUUUAAAUUCUAUAGGGUUCACAGUUUUCAAGCUUCACACAUAUGUCACAUCCCCUAAUAACCUUUUUUAAAGAAUCCCUCACCCAAGGGAGUUUGGGGUCAGUAAAUGCCAACCAUGACAUUGCAAA